rnacentral:piRNA from 1 species
AAGGAGCCAACCACCAUCUGCUAAGUGUGCU